rnacentral:lncRNA from 1 species
AGAGGCUUCAGGACUGCUUUAGGUGACAUUAUCAUAAUGAACCUGCAGUUGGCUGCUGUUUUCUUUACCUUCUCUCUUGGAACAAAACUCCACUACUUUGGCCGCACAAUUUUACAUGGUGGCGCGAAAUACAGAGCAACUGGGCGUGGUUUUGUCGUGAGACAUGAGAAGUUUGCUGAGAACUACAGGAUGUACUCGAGGAGCCAUUUCACCAAAGCACUGGAAAUUAUGAUUUGCCUCAUAGC